GGCCCUGGAGGCCACAGCAGAGGUAGCCUGAUUCCCACAGCCCCUCUCUCCUCUCUCUCCAGGCUGGUCCGGGAGUUCGUGGCCCAGAACAAUACCGUGCAAAUCAAGCAUGUGAUCCAGACCCUGUCCCAGGAGUUUGCCCUGUCUCAGCACCCCCACAGCCGGAAAGGGGGCCUCAUCGGCCUGGCCGCCUGCUCCAUCGCACUGGGCAAGGUGGGCCUUUCACCCAAGGGACAGACAUACCAGUCCUGGCCUUGACGCUGACCAAGCCAUCCCGAUGCCUUCCCUGUCAAGACCCAGUAGGGCAUUGCAGACCUAUGUUUUAUUACCACUCUGUCCACACCUGAGACCAGCAAGGCUGGCUUUGCGGCCUUGCAGCCUGGUCCCCUAGGCAUGGGCCCUCUCCUGGGAAGCAGGCUUGGGAAGGGUCUUUGAGCCCAGCCCUCACACAAAGGCCUGAGCACCUUCAAGGGAGCUGGGAUGUCAGCUGGCACUGCAGGCUGCAGGGCCUGGGCUCCAACCCAUUCUGAUCUGUCUUCUCCUCCUCCUGCCCCCUUGCAGGACUCAGGGCUCUACCUGAAGGAGCUGAUCGAGCCAGUGCUGACCUGCUUCAAUGAUGCAGACAGCAGGCUGCGCUACUAUGCCUGCGAGGCCCUCUACAACAUCGUCAAGGUGGCCCGGGGCGCUGUGCUGCCCCACUUCAACGUGCUCUUUGACGGGCUGAGCAAGCUGGCGGCCGACCCAGACCCCAAUGUGAAAAGCGGAUCUGAGCUCCUAGACCGCCUUUUAAAGGACAUUGUGACUGAGAGCAACAAGUUUGACCUGGUGAGCUUCAUCCCCUUGUUGCGAGAGAGGAUUUACUCCAACAACCAGUAUGCCCGGCAGUUCAUCAUCUCCUGGAUCCUGGUUCUGGAGUCGGUGCCAGACAUUAACCUGCUGGAUUACCUGCCGGAGAUCCUGGAUGGACUCUUCCAGAUCCUGGGCGACAAUGGCAAAGAGAUUCGCAAAAUGUGUGAGGUUGUUCUUGGAGAAUUCUUAAAAGAAAUUAAGAAGAACCCCUCCAGUGUGAAGUUUGCUGAGAUGGCCAACAUCCUGGUGAUCCACUGCCAGACCACGGAUGACCUCAUCCAGCUGACAGCCAUGUGCUGGAUGCGGGAGUUCAUCCAGCUGGCGGGCCGCGUCAUGCUGCCUUACUCCUCCGGGAUCCUGACUGCUGUCUUGCCCUGCCUGGCCUACGAUGACCGCAAGAAAAGCAUCAAAGAAGUGGCCAACGUGUGCAACCAGAGCCUGAUGAAGCUGGUCACCCCCGAGGACGACGAGCCGGAUGAGCUGAGACCUGGGCAGAGGCAGGCAGAGCCCACCCCUGACGAUGCCCUGCCAAAGCAGGAGGGCAC
rnacentral:sRNA from 1 species